UGAGGAAUAUUGGUCAAUGGGCGAGAGCCUGCACCAGCCAAGUCGCGUGAAGGAAGACAGUCCUAAGGAUUGUAAACUUCUUUUAUACGGGAAUAACGGGCGAUACGAGUAUUGCAUUGAAUGUACCGUACGAAUAAGCAUCGGCUAACUCCGUGCCAGCAGCCGCGGUAAUACGGAGGAUGCGAGCGUUAUCCGGAUUUAUUGGGUUUAAAGGGUGCGUAGGUUGUUCGGUAAGUCAGCGGUGAAACCUGAGCGCUCAACGUUCAGCCUGCCGUUGAAACUGCCGGGCUUGAGUUCAGUGGCGGCAGGCGGAAUUCGUGGUGUAGCGGUGAAAUGCAUAGAUAUCACGAGGAACUCCGAUUGCGAAGGCAGCUUGCCAUACUGCGACUGACACUGAAGCACGAAGGCGUGGGUAUCAAACAGG
rnacentral:rRNA from 1 species